UUCAGGACUCUCCUCGAUUAGUGAUUUUCUUAUAUUGUUAUUAAAUGAUGCAUGUUAGUUGGUAUGGUUUGGUUAUGUUCAAAUGCAAUGCAUACUAACCAAACCAUGUGAGAAAUGUGAUGGCUUGAGAGCGAAGGGUGGCUCUGACUUCCUUGGGUUCGAUCCCCAAAACCUCCGGAGGGUUAGUUACACCGGUCGGACGGUGAGUGAUCGCAAUGACGACCCGAUCCGUGUGUGUAGCUAGGUAGCGGACGCUCUCGCUACGCUUACCUGGUGAUAAAUUAAAUUGAGGUAAGGUCGUGUAGUGGGUCUAUGGGACCGGCCAUCAGUGUGGAUGCAGGUACUGUGCACUGGUGACGGGACAAUAGCGGACGGAGCUGGGUGUGCGGAACAAGUUCGAUAUGCUAAAGGAUCAUUGAGAUCGGUAUGUGAAGCAUGGCAUAUCUAGCAUGUGAGACCUAGAAAAUGUUGCCAAAUCUACGAAAUGUUGUAGGCAUGCUUUAAA